CUGCGCCGCCGCCCGGGCUGGGAGACGGGAGGAGGCAGCGGGGCCGCCGGCGGCUCCAGUGCCCGGGGAGGGGGAGUCCGGUCCCGGCUCGGCUACCUGAGAGCGGCGCGGGGCUCGGGCCGCCUCAGUGCGCAGGUGCGCCAAGAGCAGCAGAAGUGACCAUGGAAGAGGCAGCAGGAGGGAGAACCCAGAGCCAGGAGUCAGUACCAGGAGGAAAUGGGAGAUCUUGGAGGCAGAUGCCAUCCUAGAGAAAAAACUUGAGUGCAAGUCUUUCAGCCACAAGAAACCAACCGACUGUUACUAACUGUCAUUUCCAACUGCCAUGGAACUGUUCAGUACCAAAUUCUGUUCCUUGCAUUAAAGAAGCAUCAUCCCACUUUUCAUGCUAUUUGAUUACCACAGAUUCCCUGCAUGCCAGUGACUCUGAGGAUGAUGCAUCUUUAUCUAACACCUCUCAUGAUGCACUAGCCCUUGGACCAGCCAAAUGUUGAAAACAGUCCACAAGGGCUUCCAAGGAUGUUAGUAGGAAGCAGAAUAGAGAAGAUGCUUCUGGAAUCCAUUUCAGGCCUUGAUGAAUUAUGAAGAUGACAGAACGUUGGUUUUCCUGGGGAGGCAGGAGGCUAUAAAACAAAAGGAGGAGAAAGGUCAAGAAAGAGAUUAAUGUAAGGAGAUAGAAGCAGUGCAGCACAAGGAGAUGGAGGCCCAGGAUAGGAGAUGGAGUAACAAUAUGAGACAUAAACUAAUGUGAUGCAAAAUAUAAUGAUGAUAUUACUAUAAUUUGCUGGGGGUGAUCUCAGAUGAACUCUAACUCCAAUUCUUAUCACUACCACAACAUAUUUAAUGGCAGUGAUUUUCACAUCCUCUCUUUUCUUCCAAAUAUCUAAAGCACCUUACAAAAGAGGUGUCAGUAUCAUUAUCCCCAUUUUACAGAUGGAGAAGCUGAGGCAUAAUGAGAUGAAGUGAUUUGCCCAGUGCCACCCAAAAAUAUAACUCAGGUCCCUUGAGCCCCAAGUUCAGUGUUCUAUUUAUUAGGCCACAUUGACUCUCUUGUAUAAUAUAAAACAUUUUUUUAAAAGGUCA